GACAGAGGUGCCGAGCGUUAGGCGGAAUCACUGGGCUUAAAGCGUGUGUAGGCGGAUGGGUAAGUACCUUGUGAAAUCCCAGAGCUCAACUCUGGAAUUGCCUUUGAUACUGAGGGCCUUGAGACCGGAAGAGGUCGGCGGAACUGCGAGUGUAGAGGUGAAAUUCGUAGAUAUUCGCAAGAACACCAGUGGCGAAGGCGGCCGACUGGUCCGGUUCUGACGCUGAGGCACGAAAGCGUGGGGAGCAAACAGG
rnacentral:rRNA from 1 species